rnacentral:lncRNA from 1 species
CUGGAGAAUGGCUAUUUAUGUAGAUUUUUGCUAAUGAAAUCCUGCUUGUUUCGAAACUGUCACACCUAUAGCAGCAGUGUGAUCACACCCUCAGACUGUAAAAUCUUCAGGCAGCAACUCCUAGUUUGCACCAAAGUUCAUAAAACAAUAAAAUGUACAGAUCUGCCUUGUUCAGAGCAUGUAUGACCAGCAAGUGCUUCCAGGAAAAACUGAACACCUUUCUUUCCCAGAACUGCUCAAUUCUGCAAUUUUUCUUCGGGAAAUGGAGCACAUGAACAAUGUCCACUGCUUGUGGGAGGUGCUGGACACCAGCUCUGGGACAGGGACUGCCUCUUGCUUUGUCCUCACUGCUGGAAAAAACCACUUCAAACAGGAGUUGGAUGGAUGCUCAGUUGGGACUUAUCUGGAAAAGUUUUCAGUAGCAGUUCUGCAUAACAUUUCCACUUUUUGAGUUUGAACCUUUGUCUCCCUCGUUCCAGUGGAAGAUGUCCUUGGGGAUGGGACACAGGGAUGUUCUUGGAGAGAG